AUGUACAAUAUGAUUGAAUACUUGUGUAAAAUUUAUUUAUAUGUUUGUAAUUUUGAGCUCAAAAAGGAUAACAAGCACCUAUAUCGAAAAACCAAAUAUUAUCAGCAACCAAGCAAGAGAUGUAACAAGAUGCUAAAGGUUUCUUUUACUCAAGAUGUUAUAGGUGUGACAACGAUUUAUACAAAAUUCAGUAUGCUCAAAAUUCCACACUUUCGAACUAUGUUCAAAAGUAAAAAUGAGAUAGUUUUCAAGUGCAACCCAUCUAUGAGGCACCAAUGUUGGAAUGCAAAAGUGUGUCCAGUACAGUAUAACUGA